GACGAACCGUGCAAACGUUAUUCGGAAUCACUGGGCUUAAAGGGCGCGUAGGCGGGCCGCCCGGUCCGGGGUGAAAUCCUCCAGCUCAACUGGGAGAAGUGCCUUGGAUACCGGCGGCCUCGAGGAGGCAGGGCGUGCGGAACUUCGGGUGGAGCGGUGAAAUGCGUAGAUAUCCGAAGGAACACCGGUGGCGAAGGCGGCAUCCUGGACCGGUAUUGACGCCUGAGGAGCGAAAGCGUGGGGAGCAAACAGGAUAGAUACCCCGGUACGUC
rnacentral:rRNA from 1 species